rnacentral:lncRNA from 1 species
CAGAUAGGGACAUACACAUAUGCCAAAGGAAAUAUGCACUGGACAUCCUAAAGGACACAGGUAAAAUUGGUGUAGCACCAGCUCGUAUUCCACUCAACCAAAACCUGAAACUCUCUAAAGAUUAGGGAGAACUUAUCCCUGAACCAUCAAUCUACAAAAGGCUGAUUGGGAGAUUGUUGUAUUUGACUAUUACAAGACCUGACUUGGCAUACUCAGUGCAAUUGCUAAGUCAAUUUGUGGAUAGUCCAAGUUUGUCUCAUCUUAAUGCAGCUCAUAAGAUUUUAAGAUACAUAAAAAGGGCACCAGGACAAGGUUUGUUGUACUCAUGACAAUCAGCUUUGCAAUUAGCGGGUUAUUGUGACUUAGAUUGGGGAGCUUCCCAGGAUACAAGGAGAUCAGUCAGUGGGUAUUGCGUUUUCAUAGGGUCUUCUUUGGUAUCUUGGAAGUCUAAGAAGCAAGGAGUUGUGUCUAGAUCAUCUGCAGAGGCAGAAUACCGGGCAAUGGCGAAUCUGUGUUGCGAAUUGACUUGGCUAAGAUAUCUUCUCCAUGACUUACGAAUCAAACAUCCACAAGCAGCAAUCAUGUUUUGUAAUAACAAAGCAGCACUUUACAUUGCUUCAAAUCCUUUUUUCAUGAGAGGACCAAGCACAUUGAGCUUGAUUGCCAUCUCAUUCGAGAGAAGAUCCAAGCUAGGAGCAUAGUCACAGUACAUAUUAGUAGCGGCAAACAGGUUGCAGAUCUCUUUUAACCAAGGCAUUGUCUUCUAUAAGUCUUUAUUCUCAUCUACUCAAGAUGGGAGUAGAAGACAUCUACUCUCCAUCUUGCAGGGGGCUAUCAGAAAAUACAAGUCAGCAAGUCCAGCAAGCAUCAGUGGUUGUGUUGAUGAUUUAAAGAUUUAAUGUUGUCACUUUUGUUGCCAUUUUGUUUUUGUAAUUGUUUAAGUUCAAGUCAGCCAAGUUAUUAUUAUAAAAUUGUAAUAUGCUAUCAUGUAUAGUGUAAUCUGUCACAAGGUAAGGUGUAGUAGGUUGGAGGGAUGGUUGACAAUCUUUUGUGUAAUUUAUAUAUACAUAGUUUGUAGAGCCAGCCGUAUAUAUCAACCAAGUGGAUAAAAGUUUGAAUAGAUUUUCUUUUUUUUUUGAUCUCCAUCUUGCUCUUUCUCUUUUGGUUAAAAUCCAUCAGGUUGACAUGGAUGAUGAGCUGUAAUGGCACAUUGAAAGUACUAGCAUUGAAGUUUUUAGAAGAUAAAUGAGGAGAGUCGGG